UGGGGAAUUUUGGACAAUGGGGGAAACCCUGAUCCAGCCAUCCCGCGUGUGCGAUGAAGGCCUUCGGGUUGUAAAGCACUUUUUGCAGGAAAGAAACGUCAUGGGUUAAUACCCCGUGAAACUGACGGUACCUGCAGAAUAAGCACCGGCUAACUACGUGCCAGCAGCCGCGGUAAUACGUAGGGUGCAAGCGUUAAUCGGAAUUACUGGGCGUAAAGCGUGCGCAGGCGGUUCGGAAAGAAAGAUGUGAAAUCCCAGAGCUCAACUUUGGAACUGCAUUUUUAACUACCGGGCUAGAGUGUGUCAGAGGGAGGUGGAAUUCCGCGUGUAGCAGUGAAAUGCGUAGAUAUGCGGAGGAACACCGAUGGCGAAGGCAGCCUCCUGGGAUAACACUGACGCUCAUGCACGAAAGCGUGGGGAGAAAACAGG
rnacentral:rRNA from 1 species